CAACAUUGGCCGCCGGGUCAAUGAAGAGAAGCGCUUCGCCGCGUAUCGUCAGGCCAUAGAAGAUACGCGGGCGGGCGCUUUUUUGUC
rnacentral:ncRNA from 1 species